rnacentral:piRNA from 1 species
UGCACUUCAUUCUUUCCUAAAGUCUUGAUGG